CAGUCGCCGCGGGAAUACGGAGGAUCCAAGCGUUAUCCGGAAUCAUUGGGUUUAAAGGGUCCGUAGGCGGUCUUGUAAGUCAGUGGUGAAAGCCCAUCGCUCAACGGUGGAACGGCCAUUGAUACUGCAGGACUUGAAUUAUUGGGAAGUAACUAGAAUAUGUAGUGUAGCGGUGAAAUGCUUAGAGAUUACAUGGAAUACCAAUUGCGAAGGCAGGUUACUACCAAUUGAUUGACGCUGAUGGACGAAAGCGUGGGUAGCGAACAGGAUUAGAGACCCGCGUAGUCCCUGUCUCUUAUAU
rnacentral:rRNA from 1 species